UAAAAGAAAAGAAAUAAUCUUUUAAAAUAAAACAAGAAAUUUAUAGAAUAAGAUAAUCUACAAAGAAAAUAAUAAAAGUAAGAAUAAAAGGAAUUAGAAUAUAAGAAGAAAGAAAAAGUAUAAU
rnacentral:misc_RNA from 1 species